UACGGAGGGGGCUAGCGUUGUUUGGAAUCAUUGGGCGUAAAGGGCGCGUAGGCGGCCGAUCAAGUCGGAGGUGAAAUCCCUCGGCUCAACUGAGGAAUUGCCUUCGAUACUGUUCGGCUUGAGUCCUGGAGAGGGUAGCGGAAUUCCCGGUGUAGCGGUGAAAUGCGUAGAGACCGGGAAGAACACCAGUGGCGAAGGCGGCUACCUGGACAGGUACUGACGCUGAAGCGCGAAAGCUAGGGGAGCAAACAGG
rnacentral:rRNA from 1 species